rnacentral:rRNA from 1 species
GAAGGUGGCAAGCGUUAUUCGGAUUUACUGGGCGUACAGGGAGCGUAGGCGGUUUGGUAAGCCCUCUGUGAAAUCUCCAGGCUUAACCUGGAAAAGUCGGAGGGGACUGCUGGGCUAGAGGACGGGAGAGGAGCGCGGAAUUCCCGGUGUAGCGGUGAAAUGCGUAGAGAUCGGGAGGAAGGCCGGUGGCGAAGGCGGCGCUCUGGAACGUUUCUGACGCUGAGGCUCGAAAGCGUGGGGAGCAAACAGGAUUAGAUACCCUGGUAGUCCACGCCUUAAACUAUGAAUACUAAGUGUCGGCAGUUUACUGCCGGUGCCGCAGCUAACGCAUUAAGUAUUCCGCCUGGGAAGUACGGCCGCAAGGUUG